CCAAUAGCGUAUAUUAAAGUUGUUGCAGUUAAAAAGCUCGUAGUUGAAUUUCGGGAUCAGUAGGUUGGUCGUGCCACUGGUAUGUACUGGUCUCACUGGUUCCUCCUUCUUGUAGAACCGUAAUGCCAUUAAGUUGGUGUUGCGGGGAAACAGGACGGUUACUUUGAAAAAAUUAGAGUGUUUAAAGCAGGCUAACGCUUGAAUACAUUAGCAUGGAAUAAUGAAAUAGGACGAACGAUCCUAUUUUGUUGGUUUCUAGGAUUGACGUAAUGAUUAAUAGGGAUAGUUGGGGGCAUUAGUAUUCAAUUGUCAGAGGUGAAAUUCUUGGAUUUAUUGAAGACUGACUACUGCGAAAGCAUUUGCCAAGGAUGUUUUCAUUAAUCAAGAAUGAAAGUUGGGGGCUCGAAGACGAUCAGAUACCGUCCUAGUCUCAACCAUAAACGAUGCCGACUAGGGAUCGGAUGAUGUUAAUUUUUUAAUGACUCAUUCGGCGCCUUACG
rnacentral:rRNA from 1 species